UUUCGGCGGGCGCGGGGCAGCGGGAGCGGAGCUCUGCGUUCCCUCAGAAGGAGCGGGACUGGAGCCGGGACCGGCCUCGGCCUCUCCCGGCGGGGCCAGCGGGAAGCCGGUGCUGGAGGAGGCGGCUCCACCGCUGCGCCUUCCCCCGCCAUGCUGUGGCGCGGCUCCCUCGGGGCCGGUGCCGCUCCCCGCCGGCCCCGGCGCUGAGCGGCUGCGGCGGGAGGAGCCGAGCGAGCCUCACAAUGGACAGAAAAAUGAAAUGACCGGGAUGGUGUGACUUCAGGAAUGAAGGGUGAUCCUUCAGGAAAAGGCUGCCCAAACAAGCUUCAGCCACCUUGGUAAGUAGGCAGCCCUGAGCCCAGGCACAGCAGAGGAGCCCAGCCAGGUGAGCUGCACUGCUGGGAGCUGCCAGCUUGUGUUGCAGGUGAGCUGCAGUGCCCCAGCUUGUGUUGCAGAUUAUGCCUUGAGCUGCAGAAUGUCUGACAAACUGAGAACUGGUUGGCAGCAUCCACGUCUGAUGGCUUGGAGAUUCCUAAAACUUGAUCAGCUGUGUUUUCUCUACAUGGUUAAGAAGGAUUUAAAUAAAAAAAACAACUAAAUAAAGAUGCCACCUACAAGACUGAAAGGA